UGUUGGAAAGCAGUGUGUGAGUGGACUAACAAUGAGCACAGCUUGGGCAAAGACCUGAGUCAACAGGUGAAACUCGGCCAAGUCACACUACGUGACCAGGGCACAUGUCACAAGAACAUGUGCCCACUUAAACAGGGAAGAGGUGAGGAACAUGCAUUGAAAAGGAGGAGUUAAUAUCUUAUCCGGACCAUUAACUGACUGUGCAGUUUGAUACAUGAUACAACAAACUCAGCUGGACGACCCCAACAGACAAAGAGAGAAGCGGUGCUUUGAACCAAUCAUGCUGCAGCCACGCCAGAAGUGAGAGUGAGUCAAAAGAGAAAAUGAUCACAGAAAAUCUAAACAAAACCUGGAGCGACAGUGUUACAGAUGAAGAAGACAUCUCCUGGAGAAGAAACACUGCUUUACAGUCUUCAGAUCCAAAGAAACGAAGACGAGUUCAACCCCUCCUCUUCGACCCACUCUCAAUAUGAGUGUGAGGAGUGUGGUGCAUGUGUGCAUGUGUGCUGACCGACUGUGACGCUGUGUCCUUCACUCCGUGUCCUGUGUGCCAAUGCUCUUCCUCUUGUAAAGGUGAAUUACUAAUUAAUCGUUGAUUUCAGCCGUGACAGCAGAUCACUUCUCCUCGUUGAUCAACAUUUAUUUAUUAAUCUUCACCUUUUUUGUUGUUUAUAUAGCCUCUCAUUCAGAUUCACCUCCGGAUGCCCUUUCCUCCACCAUUACACCGUCCUCAUGAAUAAUACAACCGGUGACAGUGGUCGCCACACUACUGACACAUAUUAUCACAAGGCCAACACAUACAGAAUUGAAGCUUUCCAGUGCUGCGUCCUACUGUGGAGAAAUGCUCCAUUAAUAUGCAUGCAGGGCUUAUUUUCCUCUCUAUGGAAUAAUGUGAGAGAGAUGUGCGGGGAAUUAAUGUUGGUAUCUCCCUCAGACAGUAAAGAGAAUUUUAAGUGUGGCAUCUUGGUUUACGUCUUCAUUAGCAGCCUAUUUUUUUUUGCAUUGCUCGUCUCACUUCCUCUACAGCCAGUAUUAAAUACAGAACAUUUGGGACAGUUUA